CGUAUCACUUAAAGCGAUUCAGCGGGUUACGAUUGACGGAGCGAAGCGACGUCAAAGCGUAUACAAAGUCGAGUCGGUUUAAGUGAUACGUUCGUUGGGUAGGGGAGCGUUCUGUAAGCCUGUGAAGGUGGCCUGUGAGGGUUGCUGGAGGUAUCAGAAGUGCGAAUGCUGACAUAAGUAACGAUAAAGCGGGUGAAAAGCCCGCUCGCCGGAAGACCAAGGGUUCCUGUCCAACGUUAAUCGGGGCAGGGUGAGUCGACCCCUAAGGCGAGGCCGAAAGGCGUAGUCGAUGGGAAACGGGUUAAUAUUCCCGUACUUGGUGUUACUGCGAAGGGGGGACGGAGAAGGCUAUGUUGGCCGGGCGACGGUUGUCCCGGUUUAAGCGUGUAGGUGUGUGUUCCAGGUAAAUCCGGUUCACUUUAACACUGAGGCGUGAUGACGAGGCACUACGGUGCUGAAGCAACAAAUGCCCUGCUUCCAGGAAAAGCCUCUAAGCAUCAGGUAACAUCAAAUCGUACCCCAAACCGACACAGGUGGUCAGGUAGAGAAUACCAAGGCGCUUGAGAGAACUCGGGUGAAGGAACUAGGCAAAAUGGUGCCGUAACUUCGGGAGAAGGCACGCUGAUAUGUAGGUGAAGCGGUUUACCCGUGGAGCUGAAAUCAGUCGAAGAUACCAGCUGGCUGCAACUGUUUAUUAAAAACACAGCACUGUGCAAACACGAAAGUGGACGUAUACGGUGUGACGCCUGCCCGGUGCCGGAAGGUUAAUUGAUGGGGUCAGCGCAAGCGAAGCUCCUGAUCGAAGCCCCGGUAAACGGCGGCCGUAACUAUAACGGUCCUAAGGUAGCGAAAUUCCUUGUCGGGUAAGUUCCGACCUGCACGAAUGGCGUAAUGAUGGCCAGGCUGUCUCCACCCGAGACUCAGUGAAAUUGAACUCGCUGUGAAGAUGCAGUGUACCCGCGGCAAGACGGAAAGACCCCGUGAACCUUUACUAUAGCUUGACACUGAACAUUGAGCCUUGAUGUGUAGGAUAGGUGGGAGGCUUUGAAGCGUGGACGCCAGUCUGCGUGGAGCCGACCUUGAAAUACCACCCUUUAAUGUUUGAUGUUCUAACGUGGACCCGUAAUCCGGGUUGCGGACAGUGUCUGGUGGGUAGUUUGACUGGGGCGGUCUCCUCCUAAAGAGUAACGGAGGAGCACGAAGGUUGGCUAAUCCUGGUCGGACAUCAGGAGGUUAGUGCAAUGGCAUAAGCCAGCUUGACUGCGAGCGUGACGGCGCGAGCAGGUGCGAAAGCAGGUCAUAGUGAUCCGGUGGUUCUGAAUGGAAGGGCCAUCGCUCAACGGAUAAAAGGUACUCCGGGGAUAACAGGCUGAUACCGCCCAAGAGUUCAUAUCGACGGCGGUGUUUGGCACCUCGAUGUCGGCUCAUCACAUCCUGGGGCUGAAGUAGGUCCCAAGGGUAUGGCUGUUCGCCAUUUAAAGUGGUACGCGAGCUGGGUUUAGAACGUCGUGAGACAGUUCGGUCCCUAUCUGCCGUGGGCGCUGGAGAACUGAGGGGGGCUGCUCCUAGUACGAGAGGACCGGAGUGGACGCAUCACUGGUGUUCGGGUUGUCAUGCCAAUGGCACUGCCCGGUAGCUAAAUGCGGAAGAGAUAAGUGCUGAAAGCAUCUAAGCACGAAACUUGCCCCGA
rnacentral:rRNA from 1 species